AACGAACGCUGGCGGCAGGCUUAACAAAUGCAAGUCGAACGCCCCGCAAGGGGAGUGGCAGACGGGUGAGUAACGCGUGGGAAUCUCCCGUACCCUCCGGAACACAAGUUGGAAACGACUGCUAAUACCGUAUACGCCCUACGGGGGAAAGAUUUAUCGGGGUAUGAUGAGCCCGCGUUGGAUUAGCUAGCUGGUGGGGUAAAGGCCUACCAAGGCGACGAUCCAUAGCUGGUCUGAGAGGAUGAUCAGCCACAUUGGGACUGAGACACGGCCCAAACUCCUACGGGAGGCAGCAGUGGGGAAUAUUGGACAAUGGGCGCAAGCCUGAUCCAGCCAUGCCGCGUGAGUGAUGAAGGUCUUAGGAUUGUAAAGCUCUUUCACCGAUGAAGAUAAUGACGGUAGUCGGAGAAGAAGCCCCGGCUAACUUCGUGCCAGCAGCCGCCGUAA
rnacentral:rRNA from 1 species